GGAAAGCAUACUCAUCCGGUGAUGUGGCCGGGCUUCAAACCCGGUGGAGGGCGUCAGACGUUCUCCCGUAGGUUCGACUCCUACUGUUUUCCGCCA
rnacentral:tRNA from 1 species